UACGUAGGGUGCGAGCGUUAAUCGGAAUUACUGGGCGUAAAGCGUGCGCAGGCGGCUUGAAAAGUUGGGGGUGAAAGCCCGGAGCUCAACUCCGGAAUUGCCUUCAAAACUCUUAAAGCUAGAGUUCGGAAGAGGAGAGUGGAAUUCCCAGUGUAGAGGUGAAAUUCGUAGAUAUUGGGAAGAACACCAGUGGCGAAGGCGGCUCUCUGGUCCGAUACUGACGCUGAGGUGCGAAAGCGUGGGGAGCAAACAGGAUUAGAAACCCUUGUAGU
rnacentral:rRNA from 1 species